rnacentral:rRNA from 1 species
UACGUAGGGUGCAAGCGUUGUCCGGAAUUAUUGGGCGUAAAGAGCUCGUAGGCGGUCUGUCGCGUCGGCCGUGAAAACCUGCAGCUUAACUGUGGGCUUGCGGUCGAUACGGGCAUCACUGGAGUUCGGCAGGGGAGACUGGAAUUCCUGGUGUAGCGGUGAAAUGCGCAGAUAUCAGGAGGAACACCGAUGGCGAAGGCAGGUCUCUGGGCCACUACUGACGCUGAGAAGCGAAAGCAUGGGGAGCGAACAGG